CAUCCUAAGUGGAUCGGGUUAAAUUAAGAUCCGCCAAUGUGGACACACCACAUGGCUACAAAAAAUUCAAACUUUGAAUUUCCUUUUUAUUAAAUCUCAGAUAUUACAGUUCAUGAAUCUCAUCGCAACCAAUCUCCUCUUCAUGCUCUCUGUUAUCAUUAUCGGUACUUUCGCUACUCUGAUCUGGGUGUUUUCCCCAUGACACGACCACCAUUUGUAAUCUUUUAAUAUCCCAUGCAAAAUAAGAUGCCCAAAUACAACUUCUCGAGUAUGAAAUGUACCGUUAACACAUUUAUAAUAGAGGCACCAAAUUUUAUCUCCUCUCGCCACAUGUGUAAAUGCAAAGGCAAGAAAACUAUUCACUCCUGUUAUUUAUUUCGAGUGUUGUCUAUUAUCAACAUCCAUCCAAGUCUUAUCCAUCUUGAUAUUUAUUUAUCUGCAGUAUAUUGGAUAUUAAAAAUAUAACAAUGUACUAUUUAUAAAAAAAAA
rnacentral:lncRNA from 1 species